rnacentral:rRNA from 1 species
AUUGAACGCUGGCGGCAGGCCUAACACAUGCAAGUCGAGCGAGCGGCGGACGGGUGAGUAAGGUAUGGGGACUGCCCGACAGAGGGGGAUAACUACUGGAAACGGUGGCUAAUACCGCAUACUAACGGAUAACCCAUAUGGGAUUAGCUAGUAGGUGGGGUAAAGGCUCACCUAGGAGACGAUCCCUAGCUGGUCGGAGAGGAUGAUCAGCCACACGGGGACGGAGACCCGUCCCAGACUCCUACUUAGGCAGCAGUGGUGAAUAUUGAACAAGGGGCUGCUGCCUGAUGCAGCCAUGCCCGUUGGAUGAAGGAGGCCUUAGGGUUGUAUAGUACUUUCGGCGGGGUGGCGUUACCCGCAGAAGAAGCACCGGCUAACUCCGUGCCAGCAGCCGCGGUAAUAC